rnacentral:lncRNA from 1 species
AGAGAAGAAGUUUAAGUUCUGCUUACAAAUGAGGAUCCUAAGCUUGGAAACUCUCCAAGUGACAGAAAAUUGGCAAGUUCUUCAUCGUUGAUUCCUUACUGGCUCUUUGGAGAGGAAAGGAGUUCUGCUCAGGAUUUGGCUGAGCCCUUUGCUUGGCACCCCAGCCAGUAACUCAAAAGUUCAAGGAACUUGACAGACAGAGGCUGUUUUUCUGGUGAGAGAUUUGAACAUGCCCAGUUGAGUCUGUCAUCGCACGUCUGCAUCUUGUCUCCUUCCAGAGGAGGCUUAUUUCUGACCAGGCUUGUGAUGGAUGUAUUCUAUGCGGGAAGACUUUUGCCUGCCCCUGUGGCAUUUACCCUGGAUCAGGGUGAGCCCUGAAU